AAAAACAAAUUCCAAAUAGUUACAAAAUUUGAGAGGAUUGGUGACUUAAAAACUAUAGAAAGGUUCAUUUAUCCUUCAUCGAAUUUAAAACAUAUGUUUUCAAAUGGUCUCUUAAUCAAUAGUACUGCUUCUGAUGCGUGCGUAAAAUGCAUACUGUAUUGUAAUCGGAAACAAUUUGAAUUUUCAUUCGGAAUAAGAAUAAGAAUUUAUAUGAUUCUUAUCGUGUUUGGUCGAAAUUGUAUUUUUAAAUAUGAAAACUCUGAAAAAAUAUGAUUAAUAGAAAUCAAGAUGUCACAUCAAUUAAAAAAAGGUAAAAUCACAAAAAUACUGAACUUUGAGGAAAAUUCAUACUGUAUUGUAAUCGGAAACAAUUUGAAAUGUUUUCAUUCGGAAUAAGAAUAAGAAUUUAUAUGAUUCUUAUCGUGUUUUGUCGAAAUUGAAUUUUUAAAUAUGAAAACUCUGAAAAAAUAUGAUUAAUAGAAAUCAAGAUGUCACAUCAAUUAAAAAAAGGUAAAAUCACAAAAAUACUGAACUCUGAGGAAAAUUCAAAACGGAAAGUCCCUAAUCAAAUGGCAAAAUCAAAUAAUAAAACACAUUAAACGAAUGGACAAAAACUGUCAUAUUCCUGACUUGGUACAGGCAUUUUUAGAUGUAGAAAAGGGUGAAUUGAACCAAAUGUCAAAGCUCAUUCAAAGACAAAUGCUUCAAGUUUAGCUGGAGCUGAUCACAUUCUUUCAUUCAUUUAUAUUUGUUUGUUGCUUAACGUGUUGCUUUAAUUUUGAACGUUUUUUUUCUCUCGAGUAAUUGCAAUUUGAAAACAGAUCACAUCCGGGGAAGGAAUUCACGCUUUGCAUAACGAAGAUAUAGUAUUGAUCAUUUCAAAUAAUUCACAAAUUGUAAAAACAGCAAUUUUCAGUUAAACUGUAUCCCUGUUGUCUUGCUUAAACCGAAAUGCUGCUGUUGUUCCUGACUGGUGAUAACCUCUGAUACUAACAUUCCCAUUCGGCAAUCCUCCGUAGAAUCCGCUACUUUCCUUCUGUCCGUUCGAUGAGGGUACGGAAUCGGCCGAGUUGAGACGAAUAUAACAUUCCAUCAGCAGAAGUAGCCAUUAAGUGGUAGUACAAUUCACGGUACCAAUGUGCAAAGUUAACACGAGGUUGUGUCUGUGUGACAAGUCAUUGUAGAAGUUAAAAAUCCAGUAAA
rnacentral:lncRNA from 1 species